rnacentral:tRNA from 2 species
GGGCCGUUAGCUCAGCUGGCAGAGCAGGGGACUUUUAAUCCCAAGGUCGUAGGUUCGAGCCCUACACGGCCCA